AGUGGUUAAGUGCUUGGCUGCUAACCAAAAGGUUGGGCUUGGCUGCUAACCAGAAGGUUGGUGGUUCAAACCCACCAACCACUC
rnacentral:tRNA from 1 species